UACGUAGGUGGCAAGCGUUAUCCGGAAUUAUUGGGCGUAAAGCGCGCGCAGGCGGUUUCUUAAGUCUGAUGUGAAAGCCCACGGCUCAACCGUGGAGGGUCAUUGGAAACUGGGGAACUUGAGUGCAGAAGAGAAAAGCGGAAUUCCACGUGUAGCGGUGAAAUGCGUAGAGAUCGGCAGGAACACCCAGGGGAAACCAGUCGACUGGGCAUCUACUGACGCUGAGGUGCGAGAGCGUGGGAGCGAACCGG
rnacentral:rRNA from 1 species